CCCACCCACGCCUCCUACUCUCUCCACGUCUAUUCAAGACCAGGAUUCGCGAAGGCAACACAAUCGUUCAAAUGGCCUAGCACAACCUCUACUACCCUUCGUCGUCAGGUUCAAGUGUUAGACAAUGCACCUUCUCCGUAUCGACGCAGAGGCUUGAGGGUGAGGUGUGACGAGUCUCUCACGGACAUGUAAUGUAAUCAUUUGCAGCAUCAUUUGCAGCACACUUGUAGUUGGUUGAUGAAUACAAGAUCUUUGGAAUUCAAACACUUCGAUACUCGAAACUAGUUGGAUGCGUGGUGUGUUUUCUUUUGGGCUGCAACACCAACACUCUCUUUUCACAUAUGGACUUUAUGCACUAAUGAGACAUCAAAUUGAUGUUGCAAUGGUAUUUUUCAAAUUUAUUUCACCUGAUCUUACAGGUUUUUCUUCUUUAUUUUUGCACUUAAUUAUUUUCUGUGAAUUUCAAGAAAUCUAUGAUAAAUGAAAUAGUCUUUUUGAAGUGCUUUGGAAUAGAUGGUGCAGUGAAUUGAUGUUGCACUUACGGCUAGUAGUAUUCCAGAAUAUAUUUGAGAUUUGUAGUUGUAUUUUUGAAUUACUGAUUCUAGUGCUAGUGUCAUUCCAGUUUUAGUUUUGAUUUACUGAUUUUUACUAAUAAGUUCUUUCAUCAAUUUCUUUUACUAACUUACGCCUAACUAGUUUUUGAUUUUGGUUUAGUUUUCUAACCUUGGUUUUUUUCUUUUUUGCAGGUGGUACUUACUACAUAAUAUUAGAGGUA